rnacentral:rRNA from 1 species
GAUGAACGCUGGCGGCGUGCCUAAUACAUGCAAGUCGAGCGAACGGACGAUAAGCUUGCUUCUCUGAUGUUAGCGGCGGACGUGUGAGUAACACGUGUAUAACCUACCUAUAAGACUGGGAUAACUUCGGGAAACCGGAGCUUAUACCGUAUAAUAUUUUGAACCGCGUUGUUCAUAAGUGAAAUACGGUCUUGCUGUCACUUAUAGCUGCAUCCGGGCUGCAUUAGAUAGUUGUUAAGGUCACGGCUUUCCAAGGCAACGAUGCAUAGCCGAACUGAGAGGGUGAUAGCCCACCCUGGAACUGAGACACGGUCAAGACGACUGAGGGAGGCAGCAGUAGCGAACCUUACGCAGCGGGCGAGAGCCUGACGGAGCAACGGCGAGCGAGAGACGGCGGUCUUCGGAUCGUAAAAAUCUGUUACUGGGGAAGAGCCUAUGUGUAAGUAAAUGUGCCCAUAUUGACGGUAACUAAUCAGAAAGCAACGGCUAACUACGUG